CCACCUCCGCUGGGUGGGCGGUGGCUGCUGGAGCUUAGGCGUGGCUAUAGCAAGCAAGGGGCUUCGGAGUCGGAGGUUUGGCCCACCCACCCAAACCUGGGCAAGCUCCCCGCCCCUCUGCUGCCCCGGUGAUUCCUCUAAACUCAGGACGGAACAACCCAAUGAACGUACAUGUUCCAGCCUACUUGUGAUUCACUUCCAUGUUUAUUGAGAGUCUAAGUCGGAGGCGUGUGGUCACAGAUAAGAAAAUAGUGUUGAUGCCUCAAAAACUAAGAGGAUAAUAAUAAUAAUCAACCAGUGAGAAUGGAACAUCCCUCUCCUGCCUGGCAGAGCUGAGCCAUGUGGAUCAUUUUGGCACUUUUCCAGUCCAGCAGGUACUCCAUAAAUGUGGGAGUUUCCAGCUGUCCAUUUAUAUUACAGAACCAGAACGAGGCAGUGGAAACGCUAAAUGGGAGCAAGUGGGAGCUCAGCUCCUGUGAGCAGGGCUGCCUGAUGGUCUGAAGAAGUACAACACUUCUCACUGGGCUAAAAGCAAGGUGUCAGCAGGGCUGUGUUGCUAUCUGGAGGCUCCAGGCAAGAAUCUGUUUCCUUGCCUUUUCUGGUUUCUAGGGGCCACCUGUAUUCCAUGGCUCAUGGUCCCCUUCCUCCAUCUACACAGUCAGAAAUGGUGGGUUGAGUCCAUUCCGCAUCACGCUGACUUUGUUUGGAGUCUCACAUUUUCUUUGACUCUCCCCUUCUGCCUCCUUCUUCCACUUAGAAAAAUUCUUGAAAUUACAUUGUUCCACCUGGACAAUUCA